CGUCUUGUAAAUUCCUAGUCAAAUGUUCAAUGAACUUGUCUAUUGGUAAUUAAUGAUGGAAGUUUGGAUACGUACGUGAUUUUUAAGCAGCACGAUUCGGCUAUGAAAGAGUAUUGGUAUAAUGUGUGUAAUGGGCCAAUUUAGUCCGGGCCCGGAUAAACACAAAACCAAAAAAUAAUAAACAAAAAUAUAUUAACAGUCCAAUAAAAGUCCAUCAGUCCAAGUUACAUAACCUAAUUUCAAACCCAAAUACAGGCCCGAUAGGCCCAAAAUUUUUUACAACUUUGGAACCCUAGGUCUCUCUCUUCGCGCCGCCGCCCUCAGUCGCCGUACAGCCCCAACGCCGCUCAUGCCUCCACGUCAACAGCCCUUGCACGCCAGUACAGCUUCGUACACAUGCCACGCAUCUGUACCUGCGAAAAGAAACAAAAGACAGCAACGAGAAUGGCAGCUAAUAGGAAAUUAUUUUGUAUUUUUCUCUUUUGGGUUUUCUUUCUGGCUAUAAAUCCAAUGAUUCAAUCUUUGUAAUGGUUACUGACGAAGGCAACAAAAAACGAAUACGAAAAAGAGAAUACAAAAACAAUACAAAGCAAAGAAGGUGAUUUUUUUCGAACGCCUUGUGCUCUUUUUUUUUUCGCAUCUAUUUCAUUUUUCUUUCGUGUUUCAUAUGUUUUCUGCAUAAUAUAAUAAAAAAGGAAGCAUACCUUCAAACGAGCCAUCGGGGACCAUCUCUUCUUUGUCGAAAUCGAAGCUUGAGAUGGGUUUUCGGGCUAAAAAUCUUACCUUUCGAGGUGAGGCUUAGAGUAGGAGAAUGAAACGACUCUAUGGGGAGCCACCGUCCAUCAAUUUCAAUGGUGGAAUGGGGCAGUCGAAUGGUCAAAUGGGGGGAUGGGAAAACCCUAAAAUUUGCUGUGUUGAAACCCUAAGAAUUGGGUCUGCUACUUAUGGUGAAAAAAAAGGGGAAUAGUAAGCUGCCAUUCAAUGGCUUUUAGUUUCAAAUAUUAAGCAAAACGGUACCGUGUAAGAAGGGUGGGGCGAGCCUUUUGCGCCUAAAAUGGUCUAUUUAUGCAACAAGUCCUUCCCCUUUCGCAUAGCCCUCAAUUUGUGUCCAAUUUGCCUACCUUGUGUUUUAAAAUUAGCCCUGUAAUUUGCGCGUGUUUGCGUUUUGGUCCGUGUCUCUACUCUGCAUUUUAGAACUUGGGUUAUUUCCAAUUCUAGUCCUUUUACAUUGAUGCGCAUCACACGUUGGCCCUCUUUUGAUUAUUUUAUUUAUAAAUUAGCCC
rnacentral:lncRNA from 1 species